AAAUCAGAUGCGCAUGUAGCUACUGAUGCUGCAGUAUUUUAUUUUUCUUUUAUAUCUUUCCAAAUUAAUGCAUCUAAUUAUGUUGUUUACCUAUUUUUAUUAUGUAUGGUGAGUGAGGCCUAGACAUCUGUUAUAGUCUUGGAGAAGGGACUGAAGUGGGCGAGCAUGCAGUGCCGGUUGUUCCCACAUUUUUCGUUUUGUUGCUGCAUUACUGCUUGUAGAUGUUGUCAGCAAGGAGGCUAAUGAAAAAGAUGCUACUAUCGAGUUAGAAACAAUUGAGAAGAGGAGUAGAGCAAAGAGGGCAGCAAAUGAAGAGCUCGCACCUCGAUAGAUGAAGAAGGCUCAGGCAUCUCAAGAUACAGUCCAUACAUAUGACAAUUUUAUCAUACACGGUCGAAAAUUCAAGAGGGCAGCCAAAGAAAGAUCAGCCGUGUUGAGUGCCCUACUAAGAACAGGAAGGCUCACUUGCUAAGAAAUCAUGGCAAGAAAAGCAGAGGGAGAAAAGAAGGUUAUCUUUUUAAGUUCAGAAUUGACCUUAAUGGCACCUGCUGCAGUCAGCAUGGAACAAGUGGUUGGCCAAUAACAUGGCACUUGGUGCUCUGGUUUUGGCCUGAGAAAUAUAAGACCAAAAGUCCAUUCAGGAGUGGUCUUCAACAGAAAACUGUUAGGCUAUUCCUUAUGCCCCAUGUGAAUCAUGGCACAUGCAAAUAAGAGUCUGAGAAACCUAGCACAAGUUCUUCCAAAAGUGAAAGACAAGAAACCAAACGUUUUUUCAAGAAAUGGAAAUCAGGACUUGAGCUUGCAGUGUUUUGGUGAGAUUGGUAAGCACCGAAUGCUGAACUAGUGAUCAUCCAGUUAGGUGCAAAAAGGGAGGGAGACAAGUGUAGGAUUCCUGUUUUGAUUCCAUAAAAACUAUGAGAAUAACCGCAUUGGAGACUAGUCCUACCUCGCAGCACAAGCAACAACUAAAGAAGCAUCCUUUCCAGUCUCAGUUGUGACACUUCUUUUUACAUCAUUCACACAUAUUGGGGCAAAUGUUUUUAGUCUUUCUUUAGCUUAUAUGUGCUGAAA